rnacentral:lncRNA from 1 species
UAACUAGACCCCUUCAAUGUUACUGCAAUAGAAGUGUCUGCCGGAGCUAUCCUCCAACCUGACUGACUGACAUACAACCCGUGGCGGCACAAACAGCUGAGAAGGACCCCUCUGAGAUCUACAGUAGAAUCAACAAACCCAGAACCAAGAAGUCCUGAACACAACAAACCCAGAUCCAAGAAGACCUGAACUCAACAAACCAAGAACCAAGAAGACCUGAACACAACAAACCCAGAACCAAGAAGACCUGAACACAACAAACCAAGAACCAAGAAGACCUGAACACAACAAACCCAGAACCAAGAAGACCUGAACUCAACAUACCCAGAACCAAGAAGACCUGA